rnacentral:rRNA from 1 species
GGGAAACUUGUGCUAAUACCGGAUAAGCCCUUACGGGGAAAGAUUUAUCGCCGAAAGAUCGGCCCGCGUCUGAUUAGCUAGUUGGUAGGGUAAUGGCCUACCAAGGCGACGAUCAGUAGCUGGUCUGAGAGGAUGAUCAGCCACAUUGGGACUGAGACACGGCCCAAACUCCUACGGGAGGCAGCAGUGGGGAAUAUUGGACAAUGGGGGCAACCCUGAUCCAGCCAUGCCGCGUGAGUGAUGAAGGCCCUAGGGUUGUAAAGCUCUUUUGUGCGGGAAGAUAAUGACGGUACCGCAAGAAUAAGCCCCGGCUAACUUCGUGCCAGCAGCCGCGGUAAUACGAAGGGGGCUAGCGUUGCUCGGAAUCACUGGGCGUAAAGGGUGCGUAGGCGGGUUUUUAAGUCAGGGGUGAAAUCCUGGAGCUCAACUCCAGAACUGCCUUUUGAUACUGAAGAUCUUGAGUCCGGGAGAGGUGAGUGGAACUGCGAGUGUAGAGGUGAAAUUCGUAGAUAUUC